rnacentral:sRNA from 1 species
AAUAUCACAAAUGGAAUCCUCAUGCACAUUGAUUGGUAUCUUAAACCUUGAAUGUGCAGUUCUGCCACCUGGUAGGAGUAGAGCUGCAAUAGCUGAUGAUGCGACGGGCAUGACAUUUUUUCCAUUUGAUCUAAGAGCAGAGAUAAUAGUCUUGUACAAAAAUGUUUUGCCUGUGCCUCCAGCUCCAUAUAGAAAGAAUAACUUGCCUUCUUUAUUUAUCACUGAUUUGAGAACAUCAUCGUAAAUUAUCCGUUGCUGCUCGUUCAGCUUGCUGAAUAAAUUUGCAUGUGUUUCUCUUGCCGAAGUAAGGAGUUGUUUAGUUCUUCCAAUAUUGACUUUUCUGGCUGAGGCAUUUCUGGAUAAUCUGACAAUGACUUUUCAUGCUGGCGUAAGAGUGUUUCAAUCUCGAUCAAUGUGUAUUUCUCUAGUUCUUCUGCUUUCAGUUCUAGUUGAGGGAAAUUCAGAACUUUUUGCUGCUUACGGAAGACAUCAUCUGCCAUGCUCUCCCAACAGUGACUCCACAGUUUUAGUGGUUCAGAGACCUCACAGUAUAUCAAGAUCAAGACAAAUAAGCUUCUAAGUAAGUAUGAUGUUGACCAUUGUGCUGCUUCAUCCAUUGCAUCAUGCCAUUCUUUGUCUCCAUCUAGCAACCCUCUUGUGUGACAUGCUGCUUUAAAACUUUCAUGUACCACACCUCCUACAGUUUUCAAAUAAUCGAAACUUGUUGCACCCUUCACUUUGUUAAGCAAGAUUCUAAGAUAAUACAAAUCCCCUGCCGUUGGGAGUAUGUUUACAAUCCUUCCAAUGUUUUCUCUCUGCUUUCUUCGAGUGUACAUUUUAU